rnacentral:rRNA from 1 species
AUGUCUAAGAUGGCACCUGAUUCAGAGGUGUUCGAGUCUGAUUCCCUCUAUGUGCCAAUAGUGCUUGUUGAGCCAACUCCUCCUCCUGCUGCUGCAGCAAUCAAGCUAGCAGGAGCAAAGGCAAAGAAGGAUGGUAGGUCGAACAACAUGAAGUGGCAGCCGUUCAUGUCCAUGUUCGUGCUGAACAAGAUGUGUGAGCUCAUCUCUAGUGGAGUUAGGACUGACAAGGGCUUCAAGAAGGUGCACUUGAACAUCGUUGCGAAGCAUGUGUUCGAGUUCUGUGGGCAAGAGGUGUCUGCCACCCAGGUGUACAACCACCUGAGGAAGUGGAGAAGUCGAUGGAUCCAAGUGUCCAAGUUGAGAGACCUUAGCGGUGCCUCAUGGGAUGAGAACACUUGCUCCAUAGUUCCGGAGGCAGAGCACUACGCCGGCCCGGACCACCCAAGGGACGUUGAGUUCCUCAACACACCCAUCCAGAACUACAGCCAGAUGCAGCACAUCUUCUCCUUCGGGCUGGCAACUGGGAAGCAUGCCAUGGGCUCGGGUGAGCCUCUUGGUUCUCUCAUGCCAGACUUCCCUGGGACACAGAACGUCGAGGUCCUUGAUGACCCUGACAAGCCCGCUGCGAAGCCCUUCGACAAGCCAUUUGACCCCGUCCAUGAUAGGAAGAGGAAGAGGAAGAGAGGAGGCCUGAUGGAGGAGGAGAUCAAUGUCUUUUGCAGCAUGACUGAGGCGGUGAAGGAGGUGGCAACAACCAUCAGGGAGUGCAAGCCCCUCGAUGUCCACCCUGACCUGUAUGGCGCUGUCAUGACCCAGGGUGGAUUCAGCGACGAGGCUCUCAUGGCAGCUCUCAGCCACCUUCUUGACAACAAGGCCCGGGGUGUUGGGUUCGUUGCCAUGGCCGACGCUCACAGGGUGCUAUGGCUCAGGAGCUGGUUGGGCAAGCACUACUACUAG